rnacentral:rRNA from 1 species
ACCCCGGGAGGGGAGUGAAAUAGUACCUGAAACCGUUGGUUUACAAUCAGUCAGAGCGUCGUCUAAGAUUUCGAUCUUAGGCCGCGAUGGCGUGCCUUUUGAAGAAUGAGCCUGCGAGUUAUGGUGUGUGGCAAGGUUAACCCGUGAGGGGAAGCCGAAGCGAAAGCGAGUCUGAACAGGGCGUCCAGUCGCAUGCUAUAGACCCGAAGCCGAGUGAUCUAUCCAUGGGCAGUGUGAAGCGGGGGUAAGACCCCGUGGAGGCGCGAACCGACCUAGGUUGAAAACUGGGCGGAUGACCUGUGGAUAGGGGUGAAAGGCCAAGCAAACUCGGUGAUAGCUGGUUCUCCGCGAAAUGCAUUUAGGUGCAGCGUCGCAUGUUCAGUCAUGGGGGUAGAGCACUGGAUGGGUUAGGGGGCCUACAAGCUUACCAACCCCAACCAAACUCCGAAUACCAUGACUCUAAAGUGCGGCAGUGAGACCCCGGGGGAUGAGCUUCGGGGUCGAAAGGGAAACAGCCCAGACCGCCGACUAAGGCCCCAAAUUCUGGACUAAGUGGUAAACGAAGUGAGAUUGCAAAAACAGCCAGGAGGUUGGCUUAGAAGCAGCCAUCCUUGAAAGAGUGCGUAACAGCUCACUGGUCGAGUGAUCUUGCGCGGACAAUGUAACGGGGCUCAAGUCCAGAGCCGAAGUCGCGGGUUUUCACAUUAGUGAAAGCGGUAGCGGAGCGUCGAUCUUGCUGUGAAGCGCCGGUGUAAACCGUCGUGGAGCGUGGUCGAGUGAGAAUGCAGGUAUGAGUAGCGAGAGAGGGGUGAGAAACCCCUCCGCCGAAAAUCCAAGGGUUCCUGGGGAAGGCUAAUCCUCCCAGGGUGAGUCGGGAGCUAAGACGAGGCCGAGAGGCGUAGUCGAUGCACAACCGGUUGAUAUUCCGGUACCACUGUGAGCACGACCAGGCUCAACCAUUGUUGCUAAGGGGAUGCUAGGAGCCCGUAAAAAGGCACCUAGAGGAACCGACCCACAAUGGAGCGGCCAGCAAUGCGGGGACGCAGGAAGGUAGGUGAACCCACCCGAUGGUAGAGGUGGGGUAAGUAUGUAGGGCGGGUCCUAGGAAAAUCCGGUACCCAUUAAGCCUGAGAUACGACGCCGACUCGAUUAAGAGGAAGUCAUUGAUCCUAUGCUGCCAAGAAAAGCCGCUAGCGAGUUCUCACGGUGCCCGUACCCCAAACCAACACAGGUGGAUAGGUAGAGAAUACCAAGGCGAUUGGGAGAACUGUGGUUAAGGAACUCGGCAAAUUGCAUCCGUAACUUCGGGAGAAGGAUGACCUCAUUAAAGUGAUGGAACUUGCUUCCUGAGCUUGAAGAGGUGUCACAAACCAGAGGGAAGCGACUGUUUACUAAAAACACAGCAGCGUGCUAAGCCGUAAGGCGCUGUAUACGCUGUGACGCCUGCCCGGUGCCGGAAGGUUACGGGGACGGGUUAGCCCUUUAGGGCGAAGCUCUGAACCUAAGCCCCGGUAAACGGCGGCCGUAACUAUAACGGUCCUAAGGUAGCGAAAUUCCUUGUCGGGUAAGUUCCGACCUGCACGAAUGGCGUAACGACUUCCCUACUGUCUCAACCACAGACCCAGCGAAAUUGAAGUACGAGUAAAGAUGCUCGUUAGCUACAGAAGGACGGAAAGACCCCGUGGACCUUUACUACAACUUGGUAUUGAUGUUUGACCUUCACUGUGCAGGAUAGGUGGGAGACUUUGAAACGCAUGCGCCAGUGUGCGUGGAGUCAUCCUUGAAAUACCACCCUGUGUAUGUUGAACAUCUAACCUCGAACCGUUAUCCGGUUUAGGAACAGUGCCAGGCGGGUAGUUUGACUGGGGCGGUCGCCUCCCAAAGAGUAACGGAGGCGCCCAAAGGUUCCCUCAGCCUGGUUGGCAAUCAGGCAUCGAGUGCAAUGGCAGAAGGGAGCUUGACUGCGAGACCUACAAGUCGAGCAGGGUCGAAAGACGGGCAUAGUGAUCCGGCGGUUGCGUGUGGAAGCGCCGUCGCUCAACGGAUAAAAGGUACCCCGGGGAUAACAGGCUUAUCUCCCCCAAGAGUUCAUAUCGACGGGGA